UACAGAGGGUGCGAGCGUUAAUCGGAAUUACUGGGCGUAAAGGGUGCGUAAGCGGUUACAUAAGUUAGGUGUGAAAGUCCCGGGCUUAACCUGGGGAUUGUGCCUGAUACUGUGUGGCUAGAGUGCUGUAGAGGAAAGUGGAAUUUCCGGUGUAGCGGUGAAAUGCGUAGAUAUCGGAAGGAACAUCGGUGGCGAAGGCGACUUUCUGGACAGACACUGACACUGAGGCACGAAAGCAUGGGGAGCAAACAGG
rnacentral:rRNA from 1 species